GACGAACGCUGGCGGCAUGCUUAACACAUGCAAGUCGAACGGAAAGGCCCUGCUUUUGUGGGGUGCUCGAGUGGCGAACGGGUGAGUAACACGUGAGUAACCUGCCCUUGACUUUGGGAUAACUUCAGGAAACUGGGGCUAAUACCGGAUAGGAGCUCCUGCUGCAUGGUGGGGGUUGGAAAGUUUCGGCGGUUGGGGAUGGACUCGCGGCUUAUCAGCUUGUUGGUGGGGUAGUGGCUUACCAAGGCUUUGACGGGUAGCCGGCCUGAGAGGGUGACCGGUCACAUUGGGACUGAGAUACGGCCCAGACUCCUACGGGAGGCAGCAGUGGGGAAUAUUGCACAAUGGGCGGAAGCCUGAUGCAGCAACGCCGCGUGCGGGAUGACGGCCUUCGGGUUGUAAACCGCUUUCGCCUGUGACGAAGCGUGAGUGACGGUAAUGGGUAAAGAAGCACCGGCUAACUACGUG
rnacentral:rRNA from 1 species